AUUUUUCUAAUGAAUUUGGGUAGCCUAGAUAUUUCUAUUCAUCCAUCAUAUUUAGAACUCUGAUAUUUUCAGUGGAUUAUCUUUCUUUCUUUCUUUUUUUCCUUUUCUAAUGAAUUCGUGUAACCUAGCUAUUUCUAUCCAUCCAUCAUAUUUUUGUACAAGUUUUCUCGUAGAGUAUGAUGUAGCUAGAGUGCCUGCCAGUCUGCCACCUUCUCAUUCUUUCUUUCUUUUUUCCACCUUCUCAUUCUUCAUUUUAUUUUCUAGCAGUAAAUGUUUAGAGUUGUGUCAAAAAUAGAAAAUAAAUGGAUGUUGCAUUCAAGCUAAGUAACCAAGAAAAAGUGUCAUAUUGUGAUAAAGAUUGCGCAUGCAAAGCGAUGUGCAUAUAUGUUCAUUGCAGAUUGGGCUAUUGGCACCACCAAUAUACAUGCUUGCUUCAUGAAACUGCUAUCAUUUCUUUAUUUUUUAUGUAU
rnacentral:sRNA from 1 species